UAUACUUGGGAGUCAGACUGUGGGUGAUAAGAUUCAUAGUCGAAAGGGCAACAGCCCAGAUCGUCAGCUAAGGUCCCUAAAUGUAAGUUAAGUGGUAAAGGAUGUGGGAUUGCACAGACAACCAGGAUGUUGGCUUAGAAGCAGCCACUCAUUCAAAGAGUGCGUAAUAGCUCACUGGUCGAGUGAUCCUGCGCCGAAGAUUUCCGGGGCUAAAACUUACUACCGAAGCUACGGCAUCAGUAAUGAUGGGUAGGGGAGCUUCCCAUACGGGUUGAAGCAUGACCGUAAGGACAUGUGGACAGUAUGGGAGUGAGAAUGUUGGCAUGAGUAGCGAGAUGUGGGUGAGAAUCCCACAGGCCGUAAACCCAAGGUUUCCAGGGGAAGGUUCGUCCGCCCUGGGUUAGUCGGGACCUAAGCUGAGGCCGAAAGGCGUAGGUGAUGGACAACAGGUUGAUAUUCCUGUACUACCGAUAACCGUUUGAGAGAAGGGAUGACACAGUAGGAUAAGCUAAGCACACUGUUGGUUAUGUGUGCCCAAGCAUUGAGGCAGUCAAAGUAGGCAAAUCCGCUUUGAUAAUGCUGGGAUGUGAUGGGGAGCGAAAUUUAGUAGCGAAGUAGCUGAUUUCACACUGUCAAGAAAAGUCUCUAUCGAGGUUAAAGGUACCCGUACCGCAAACCGACACAGGUGGGUGAGGAGAGUAUCCUAAGGCCAGCGAGAGAACUGUUGUUAAGGAACUCGGCAAAAUGACCCCGUAACUUAGGGAUAAGGGGUGCCACCAUCAGGUGGCCGCAGAGAAUAGGCCCAAGCGACUGUUUACCAAAAACAUAGGUUUCUGCUAAGUCGCAAGACGAUGUAUAGGAGCUGACGCCUGCCCGGUGCUGGAA
rnacentral:rRNA from 1 species